rnacentral:rRNA from 1 species
UACGUAGGGUGCAAGCGUUAAUCGGAAUUACUGGGCGUAAAGCGUGCGCAGGCGGUUUUGUAAGUCUGUCGUGAAAUCCCCGGGCUUAACCUGGGAACUGCGCUUGUAACUGGCAAGCUGGAGUGUGGCAGAGGGGGGUGGAAUUCCACGUGUAGCAGUGAAAUGCGUAGAGAUGUGGAGGAACACCGAUGGCGAAGGCAGCCCCCUGGGCUAACACUGACGCUCAUGCACGAAAGCGUGGGGAGCAAACAGG